rnacentral:rRNA from 1 species
GGGUUGUUGCUGGUUCUCUAGGGAGCAUGUGCACACCUUGUCAUCUUUAUAUCUCCACCUGUGCACUUUUUGUAGACCUUUUCAGGUCUAUGUUGCCUCAUUUUACCCCAAUGUAUGUCAAUAGAAUGUUGUGCCUAUAUAUAAUAUAUUCAACUUUCAGCAACGGAUCUCUUGGCUCUCGCAUCGAUGAAGAACGCAGCGAAAUGCGAUAAGUAAUGUGAAUUGCAGAAUUCAGUGAAUCAUCGAAUCUUUGAACGCACCUUGCGCUCCUUGGUAUUCCGAGGAGCAUGCCUGUUUGAGUGUCAUUAAUAUAAUCAACCUUCUCUUGUUUUGAGAAUGGUUUGGAUGUGGGGGAUUUGCUGGCCUCUCUCAAAAGGUUCAGCUCCCCUGAAAUGCAUUAGCAGAACAACCUUUGCUCAUUGGUGUGAUAACUAUCUACGCUUAUGAAUAUGAGGGGCAGUUCAGCUUUCUAACGGUCUUUGGACAAUUCAUCAUUAAUGUGACCUCAAAUCAGGUAGGACUACC